GGUCCGUUCGUCUAGUGGCCUAGGAUGCCACCCUUUCAAGGUGGAGACACGGGUUCAAACCCCGUACGGACUG
rnacentral:tRNA from 1 species